GCCGGGGUGGCGAAAUGGCAGACGCACUGGAUUCAAAAUCCAGCGGUGGUAACACCGUGAGGGUUCGACUCCCUCCCCCGGCA
rnacentral:tRNA from 1 species